ACGAACGCUGGUGGCGUGUCUAUACAUGCAAGCGAGCGAGGCAGCAAUAGCCGAGCGGCGAACGGUGAGUAACGCGUAAGCAAUCUGCCCCAUAUCAGGAAAUACCCGUGCCAACGCGCGGUUAAUGUCCAGGAGAGUGGCCCUCUGCAUGGAGGGUUGACUAGAGAUUUAUCGGUAUGGGAUGAGCUUGCGUCCGAUUAGCUAGUUGGCGGGGCAACGGCCCACCAAGGCGACGAUCGGUAGCCGGCCUGAGAGGGUGAUCGGCCACAUUGGGACUGAGAUACGGCCCAGACUCCUACGGGAGGCAGCAGUAGGGAAUAUUGCACAAUGGGGGAAACCCUGAUGCAGCAACGCCACGUGUGGGAAGAAGCAUUUCGGUGUGUAAACCACUGUCAUGAGGGAAUAAGGCCCUUAUUCGUAAGGGAUUGAAUGUACCUUGAGAGGAAGCACCGGCAAACUUCGUGCCAGCCGCAGC
rnacentral:rRNA from 1 species